GGCAACCAUUUCCCUGCCCCUUCUUUGCUUCGGCCUAGAACUCUAUCAUUCUUGCUACACCAAAUAACCCUACACAAAAAGCAUCAGUAUAUUACCAACCAACAAGAAGGCCCAACAGAAGUGAUCCAAUUCGUGCACAUAACAUCAGAAUUUAAGAAAAUUGCAACAUAUGGAUAUAAUAUAGUAAUACAUCUCUAGUAGCUAGUUAAGGAUGUCAACGGAAAAAUUAUUGAGCGAACCUCUACAGCCUGGUUGAAUUAUUAUUAAACACCUUGUAGCCAUAGAUAAAGUAUAAUCUCCAAAAACAAAGAUGGAGAUUCUGUCCAUAUCACCACAAAAUCAUAAAUUGAACGGAAAACAUAAUGGGAAAUGGUUGACCUGAAAGGAGGAAGCUUCAUGAUACCUAUCUGCUCGUCUUCAGGCAGGAUGAGUUGCAGGCCGACAGGGACGGUGCCAACCUGGGCGACUUCAGCCAGUGGCCGUGACCUGCUGUAUGGGCAAGUUCAACGAUGAGAGGAUCCGGACAUUGGGGGACAACCUCCUCUAGGCGCGGUUGCCCCCCUCCUCACUUCCAAACGCAACUUGAUUGGCAGCAUGGGUGGGCUAGCCCUCUUUUGCGAUGAGGCCGACGUCGGCGAGGGAGCGUGGUGGCGUGGGCAGUGGAGAUGCCUCCCCCGCGUGUGGAGCUCGUUGGGAGAAACUGAAGAGGCCGCCGCCGCGACCACCCCGAGCCACUUGCGCUGGACACCGAUCUGGUCGAGGAUAGUGCUUGUCCCGCGGUCGCCGCCUCUCACGCUCGUUGUUGUCCUCCCGGUGGCUCUCCAGAUCUGGCGACGCCGAGGAAGAUAAACAAGCAGAGGAGGUGGUUGUGCGUGUGCGUGUGAGAGGACAUGUGCGUG
rnacentral:lncRNA from 1 species